rnacentral:tRNA from 1 species
CCACUGGAGGACUAGUGGUUAGGCCACAGUGCUCUCCCCACUGCGGCCCAGGUUCAAUUCCUGGCCAGGGAA